rnacentral:rRNA from 1 species
UACAGAGGGUGCAAGCGUUAAUCGGAAUUACUGGGCGUAAAGCGCGCGUAGGUGGUUUGUUAAGUUGGAUGUGAAAGCCCGGGGCUCAACUCCGGAACUGCCUUUAAGACUGCAUCGCUAGAAUUGUGGAGAGGUGAGUGGAAUUCCGAGUGUAGAGGUGAAAUUCGUAGAUAUUCGGAAGAACACCAGUGGCGAAGGCGACUCACUGGACACAUAUUGACGCUGAGGUGCGAAAGCGUGGGGAGCAAACAGG